AGGACGAACGCUGGCGGCGUGCUUAACACAUGCAAGUCGAGCGAACCUUCGGGUUAGCGGCGAACGGGUGAGUAACACGUGGGCAACCUGCCCCGAGCUCUGGGAUAACCCCGGGAAACCGGGGCUAAUACCGGAUAUGACACCGACAGACAUCUGUCGGUGUGGAAAGUUUUUCGGCUCGGGAUGGGCCCGCGGCCUAUCAGCUUGUUGGUGGGGUAACGGCCUACCAAGGCGACGACGGGUAGCCGGCCUGAGAGGGCGACCGGCCACGACUGGGACUGAGACACGGCCCAGACUCCUACGGGAGGCAGCAGUGGGGAAUAUUGCGCAAUGGGCGAAAGCCUGACGCAGCGACGCCGCGUGAGGGAUGAAGGCCUUCGGGUUGUAAACCUCUUUCAGCAGGGACGAAGCGAAAGUGACGGUACCUGCAGAAGAAGCACCGGCCAACUACGUGCCAGCAGCCGC
rnacentral:rRNA from 1 species